rnacentral:rRNA from 1 species
AUGCUGGAGGUAUCAGAAGUGCGAAUGCUGACAUAAGUAACGAUAAAGCGGGUGAAAAGCCCGCUCGCCGGAAGACCAAGGGUUCCUGUCCAACGUUAAUCGGGGCAGGGUGAGUCGACCCCUAAGGCGAGGCCGAAAGGCGUAGUCGAUGGGAAACAGGUUAAUAUUCCUGUACUUGGUGUUACUGCGAAGGGGGGACGGAGAAGGCUAUGUUGGCCGGGCGACGGUUGUCCCGGUUUAAGCGUGUAGGCUGGUUUUCCAGGCAAAUCCGGAAAAUCAAGGCUGAGGCGUGAUGACGAGGCACUACGGUGCUGAAGCAACAAAUGCCCUGCUUCCAGGAAAAGCCUCUAAGCAUCAGGUAACAUCAAAUCGUACCCCAAACCGACACAGGUGGUCAGGUAGAGAAUACCAAGGCGCUUGAGAGAACUCGGGUGAAGGAACUAGGCAAAAUGGUGCCGUAACUUCGGGAGAAGGCACGCUGAUAUGUAGGUGAAGCGACUUGCUCGUGGAGCUGAAAUCAGUCGAAGAUACCAGCUGGCUGCAACUGUUUAUUAAAAACACAGCACUGUGCAAACACGAAAGUGGACGUAUACGGUGUGACGCCUGCCCGGUGCCGGAAGGUUAAUUGAUGGGGUCAGCGCAAGCGAAGCUCUUGAUCGAAGCCCCGGUAAACGGCGGCCGUAACUAUAACGGUCCUAAGGUAGCGAAAUUCCUUGUCGGGUAAGUUCCGACCUGCACGAAUGGCGUAAUGAUGGCCAGGCUGUCUCCACCCGAGACUCAGUGAAAUUGAACUCGCUGUGAAGAUGCAGUGUACCCGCGGCAAGACGGAAAGACCCCGUGAACCUUUACUAUAGCUUGACACUGAACAUUGAGCCUUGAUGUGUAGGAUAGGUGGGAGGCUUUGAAGUGUGGACGCCAGUCUGCAUGGAGCCGACCUUGAAAUACCACCCUUUAAUGUUUGAUGUUCUAACGUGGACCCGUAAUCCGGGUUGCGGACAGUGUCUGGUGGGUAGUUUGACUGGGGCGGUCUCCUCCUAAAGAGUAACGGAGGAGCACGAAGGUUGGCUAAUCCUGGUCGGACAUCAGGAGGUUAGUGCAAUGGCAUAAGCCAGCUUGACUGCGAGCGUGACGGCGCGAGCAGGUGCGAAAGCAGGUCAUAGUGAUCCGGUGGUUCUGAAUGGAAGGGCCAUCGCUCAACGGAUAAAAGGUACUCCGGGGAUAACAGGCUGAUACCGCCCAAGAGUUCAUAUCGACGGCGGUGUUUGGCACCUCGAUGUCGGCUCAUCACAUCCUGGGGCUGAAGUAGGUCCCAAGGGUAUGGCUGUUCGCCAUUUAAAGUGGUACGCGAGCUGGGUUUAGAACGUCGUGAGACAGUUCGGUCCCUAUCUGCCGUGGGCGCUGGAGAACUGAGGGGGGCUGCUCCUAGUACGAGAGGACCGGAGUGGACGCAUCACUGGUGUUCGGGUUGUCAUGCCAAUGGCACUGCCCGGUAGCUAAAUGCGGAAGAGAUAAGUGCUGAAAGCAUCUAAGCACGAAACUUGCCCCGAGAUGAGUUCU